UUGAGACUUCCCCUGUGUAAAAAAAAAAAAAAAGAUUCAAGUUCCAUCUUGUCAAUAUUAGCUAUUUUAGGCUUGUACAUAUUUAGCCUAUCUGUGUUUGACACGUAGCUAGUUAGUUACAUUCUUCUAUCUAUCAGUUAUUUCUGUUAUUACCCUUUGUGUAUAUAUAGCAUAGAGUGUAACCACUUUACUAAUAAUAACAAUAAUCACAUCUUUAAUCUUUACUUUCUUCCUCUUCUUCUUGUAUUACUACAACUUUUCCAUGGAGUUUGUGGCCUAUUCACGCAUUAUCAACAUGGUAUCAGAGCUUGCAUAGCUCUGAUAGCCAUUGUUUCUCCUUCUUCUUCUUGCUUCCGCAUACUCUG
rnacentral:lncRNA from 1 species